AAAUCCUUAUUAAUCCUUAAUCCACAGUUUACAAGCUGAUUCCUUAGGGUUUCACCAGCAGAUGAAGGGAAAACUGAAAGCAGUUUUAAAACCUGAACAGAGUUUCAUUUCUCAGCAACUCUAGGCACACUGAUAAAACAUGAGAUGAAUAAAGGCUAAUAUGCAAGACAUCAACCCUAAGACUGAUUAAGACUUAGACACAGAGGGAGGCUGGACAAGGACCUAGAUGAGUACCUUAUAAAGCUACUUUCACACCCUUCAGUUGCCUUUUCUGGGUGGGCAGUUACAAUCUUAAUUAGGUAGGAAAAUACCACACAGCAUUCAAGUUGGCGAUCAUAACCUGAAUGCAGACCAGGCCCCGCCCCUCAGUGGCAGCAGGGGCACCAGGAGUCCGAAGCCAGCUUCGAAGCAGGCACGCUGGCUGGGCCUGGAGAGGCUUCAGAAGUCCUCUGGGCCCCAGUCUCUUCUCUGUUAACAGGGGGUUGUGUCACAUGACCUGAAGCCCCUGUAUCUCAAGCCCUAUGACUCAGAAUGCUGAUUUAAUAAGCAUCACCACCCACUUAACCCUGUAGGGAGCCUUUCUAAAGGUCAUAAUGUGAGUGUGAAGUCUGACAGGAGCCUGUUUAUUUGCAAGAACCAACUCAAACCUGAUGUCACUAUUAAGCAAAUUACGAUUAGUCAUUUUCAAAUUAACUUUUGGUUUUUAAAUCAGUUUGUGAU
rnacentral:lncRNA from 1 species